rnacentral:sRNA from 12 species
CCCGAGCCGUCCAAUGCUGUAACCCAAUACAGGUCCACUGAUAAGGUGGGUGGCGGCAAAUAACGCCAUACGAUGAGUAGGGGCGUUAUGUUGAAUACCGGUUAAGGAUAGAA